GGUUUUUCGAGUCACAUUGUGUCUGGCGAGGUCGACACUUCCCUUUUCCUCCUGUCUGACUGCGUCCCCUGUGGAGGACAUCGUGACAGCCCUCUGAUUGUUGCUCAUCAGCAGCUCGUCUGCACGCCGCCUUCGUCAAAGCGCCGAGGUCAGCCCGUGUGAGUUUCGCCUGCGGCCGCUGAGCUUCAGCUGCCCUGAACGUUCUGCAUCAAGGCGAGGUUGGAGGAGGGAGUCCACGGCCGAGAGGAGCAGAGAUGCGAGAGGCGACCUGCCUGUGACCUCUCAGGUCUCUUUCAGCUCAUCUACUCUUCUCAGAGAGGAACCUUCCUAAAUUCUAUUCAGCUGGAGGGUGAAGACGCGAGCGGGUGAACUAAAUGCUGCAGCGUCACGUCACCUUCUGUCAGGAAAUGGCCGGUUUACGUGGCUUGAAGGACACGUGGUGGUAAGAAUAACUCACGUAGGGUAGCUGGCUGGCAGGAAUGUCCACAUGUUUCCAGGGUUCGAGCUCCGCUCCCCCCGGCUGUGUUUUGUGUGGAACCGGAUGUUCAGCUGAGGGGCAGCAGCUGACUCGAGUAGAGACUUAGCGCUGAUUGAUUGCACGUGUGUGUGUGUGUGUGUGUGUGUGACAGAGAACCACAGGGGAUCUAUUUGUUUUGGACAUGAGCGCUUCUCUCGAUGAACA
ensembl:lncRNA